AGCACCAAUAGCGUAUAUUAAAGUUGCUGCAGUUAAAACGCUCGUAGUCGAACCUUUGGGCACGUGCAUUGGUUGCGUCUCUGACGGAUACUUUUGCACGACCCACGCUUCUUGGCGUUUCAAACUUGUUUGGCGUGUCAAGACUUUUACUUUGAAUAAAUUAGAGUGUUCAACGCAGGCAUUUGCUUGAAUACAUUAGCAUGGAAUAAUAAAAUACGACCUUGGUCUUGUUUUGUUGGUUUUAGGGACCAAAGUAAUGAUUAAUAGGGAUAGUUGGGGGCAUUAGUACUUGGAAGCUAGAGGUGAAAUUCUUGGAUCUUCUAAAGACUGACUAUUGCGAAAGCAUUUGCCAAGGAUGUUUUCAUUG
rnacentral:rRNA from 1 species